GUCCACGCCCUAAACGAUGCGCACUAGGUAUUGGCAGUAUCGACCCUGUCAGUGCCGUUUAAAAAAGUUAACACGUUAAGUGCGCCGCCUGGGGAGUACGGCCGCAAGGUUAAAACUCAAAGGAAUAGACGGGGACCCGCACAAGCGGUGGUUCAUGCGGUUUAAUUCGAUGACAAACGAGGAACCUUACCUGGGCUCAACUACUAGCUGCAAGCCACUAGAAAUAGAGGCCGCCUUCGAGGGUGCUAGAUAGGUGCUGCAUGGUUGUCGU
rnacentral:rRNA from 1 species